AGUUUUAUAUCAACCGUGGCUAAUCUAUUUCUAAACACCAAAAAGGUGCUGAAAGGGUGUCUGUCCCUGGUCCUUGUGUUGUGUCAGCAGCAGCACUCAUCCAGCUGUACAGCUGCACUGGGGACCGGAUCUGCCUCACUGCUGAGGAUGCAUCUCCAUGUGCUGACACAAAGCAUGGAGGACAGACAGGCAAUCAUUAAAAAUUUGACCACCUGCAACUGGAAAGACAUCAAUCAGAUCUCAUUUGGAUUGCCAUCCUUGGGCUUCUCCACUGCAACUCAGAGAGUCCUGUGCCAUUCCUGCUUUGGGGACAUGGGCAG
rnacentral:lncRNA from 1 species